AACGAACGCUGGCGGCAGGCUUAACACAUGCAAGUCGAACGCGAACGCACCUUCGGGUGUUAUUAGAGUGGCAGACGGGUGAGUAACGCGUGGGUAUCUACCCAGUGGUAAGGAAUAACUCAGGGAAACCUGGGCUAAUACCUUAUAAGCCCUCAGGGGGAAAGAUUUAUCGCCAUUGGAUGAGCCCGCGUCGGAUUAGCUAGUUGGUAGGGUAAAAGCCUACCAAGGCGACGAUCCGUAGCUGGUCUGAGAGGAUGAUCAGCCACACUGGGACUGAGACACGGCCCAGACUCCUACGGGAGGCAGCAGUGGGGAAUAUUGGACAAUGGGCGCAAGCCUGAUCCAGCCAUGCCGCGUGAGUGAUGAAGGCCUUAGGGUUGUAAAACUCUUUCACCGGUGAAGAUAAUGACGGUAGCCGGAGAAGAAGCCCCGGCUAACUCCGUG
rnacentral:rRNA from 1 species